rnacentral:rRNA from 1 species
AUAGAACCGCAUGGUUUGAUUAUUAAAGAAUUUCGGUUAUCGAUGGGGAUGCGUUCCAUUAGGCAGUUGGUGGGGUAACGGCCCACCAAACCUUCGAUGGAUAGGGGUUCUGAGAGGAAGGUCCCCCACAUUGGAACUGAGACACGGUCCAAACUCCUACGGGAGGCAGCAGUGAGGAAUAUUGGUCAAUGGACGAGAGUCUGAACCAGCCAAGUAGCGUGAAGGAUGACUGCCCUAUGGGUUGUAAACUUCUUUUAUAUGGGAAUAAAGUGGUCCACGUGUGGAUUUUUGUAUGUACCAUAUGAAUAAGGAUCGGCUAACUCCGUGCCAGCAGCCGCGGUAAUACGGAGGAUCCGAGCGUUAUCCGGAUUUAUUGGGUUUAAAGGGAGCGUAGGUGGACAGUUAAGUCAGUUGUGAAAGUUUGCGGCUCAACCGUAAAAUUGCAGUUGAUACUGGCUGUCUUGAGUACAGUAGAGGUGGGCGGAAUUCGUGGUGUAGCGGUGAAAUGCUUAGAUAUCACGAAGAACUCCGAUUGCGAAGGCAGCUCACUGGACUGCAACUGACACUGAUGCUCGAAAGUGUGGGUAUCAAACAGGAUUAGAUACCCUGGUAGUCCACACAGUAAACGAUGAAUACUCGCUGUUUGCGAUAUACAGUAAGCGGCCAAGCGAAAGCAUUAAGUAUUCCACCUGGGGAGUACGCCGGCAACGGUGAAACUCAAAGGAAUUGACGGGGGCCCGCACAAGCGGAGGAACAUGUGGUUUAAUUCGAUGAUACGCGAGGAACCUUACCCGGGCUUAAAUUGCAUUUGAAUAAUCAAGAAAUUGGUUAGUCGUAAGACAAAUGUGAAGGUGCUGCAUGGUUGUCGUCAGCUCGUGCCGUGAGGUGUCGGCUUAAGUGCCAUAACGAGCGCAACCCUUAUCUUCAGUUACUAACAGGUCAUGCUGAGGACUCUGGAGAGACUGCCGUCGUAAGAUGUGAGGAAGGUGGGGAUGACGUCAAAUCAGCACGGCCCUUACGUCCGGGGCUACACACGUGUUACAAUGGGGGGUACAGAAGGCCGCUACCUGGUGACAGGAUGCUAAUCCCAAA